CGCCCAUUAGCUAGCCCCAAACUCAAAACCAAAAACAACCAAUCAACAUCCAUACCCCCAAAGACACUAACCCUAGAACAAAACAAACCAUUUUUCCCCCUUAGUAUGGGCGACAGAAAAGGAACC
rnacentral:rRNA from 1 species